AUUCGAUGCCCACCUAAAAGCGGUAGUCAAUUUUUCUGCUACAAAAAAUUUUUUUCUAUUGUAUUGUUAGCAGUGUGUGAUGCCCGAUAUCGGUUUACCUAUAUAGAUAUUGGUGCAUAUGGAAGUCAGAGUGAUGGUGGUAUUUUUCAAGUGAGUCGAUUGGGAAUGAGGUUAUGAGAUCAUAAACUUCCCAUCCCUCCAGCGAAAAACUUACCAAAUACGCAACUAAAAACUCCACACUUCUUCGUUGGUGAUGCUGCCUUUCCUUUAGGGACAAAUUUAAUGCGCCCAUACCCUGGGGGAAUGCUACCAAAUGAAAAGAGGUGUUUAAUAAAAGGUUAUCAAGAGCUCGUCGCACAAUUGAAAACUCUUUUGGAAUACUAGUAGCGCGUUGGCGAGUUUUACUAACAACAUUACAUUUAUUUCCUGAAAAUGCAGAAAAAAUUGUUUUAGCGUGCGUUGCCUUACAUAAUUUUAUUAUGUUUAACAACGUUAAUGCAUCUUCGUAUAUUGCAAGCAACUAUGCUGAUUGGGAGGACUCUAAUGGUGAUUUUCAUGACGGUUUAUGGCGUAGAGAAGUUGAAAGUAAUAUCCCAUCGAUUAUGCAAUCUUCCAAUUUGCAUCAUUACGGUGGAAGAAGUUCUGUGGAAAUUAGAAACAACUUAUGCAGUUUUUUAACACUUUUUAAAACAUAUUCUAAAAUCACAUAUCUAACAUCAUUUCGAACUUGUUUAUUUCUUUUUUAAUAAAACUAAAUGGAGUUUAAUUAAAUUCA